CGCCGAUGCACUGGGUACCACCGAUGCACUGGGCAUCACCGUGCUGGAAAUCACCGUGCCUGGCACCACCGAUGCACCGGGUACCGCCAAGGCACCACGUACCACCGAUGCACUGGGUACUGCCGAUGCACCAGGUACCACCGAUGCACCAGGUACCACCGUGCUGGAAAUCACCGUGCCUGGCACCACCGAUGCACCAGGUACCACCGAUGCACCAGGUACCACCGUGCUGGAAAUCCCUGUGCCAGGUACCACCGAUGCACUGGGCAUCACCGUGCUGGAAAUCACCGUGCCUGGCACCACCAAUGUGCCGGGUACCACCGAUGCACCAGGUACCACCGAUGCACUGGGCACUACCGUGCUGGAAAUCCCUGUGCCAGGCACCACCGAUGCACCGGGUACCGCCGACGCACCGGGCAUCGCUGAUGCACCGGGUACCGCCGAUGCGCUGGGCACCGCCGUGCCGGGAACUGCCAACGCACCACCGUUGCACCGGGCAACUCCGUGCCCAGCAUCAGCGUGCUGGAUAUCACCGUCCCGGGCACUAGGGGUGUUGGGUGUCACCGUGCCGGGCUGGGGCACCGCUGUGGUGACGGGCACCGGCGCGCCGCGACGCUGAACCGGGCAGGGACACCACCGUGCUGGGUACCACCGAUGCACCGGGCAUCGCCGUGCCGGGCCGUGGCACCGCGGGUGCAGCAGGCAUCACCGUACUGGAAAUCACCGUGCCAGGCAGUGGCACCAUCACCAGCAAACUGGACACCAGCACCACGCCAGGCACCAGCACCGCUCCGGGCACCGCCGUGCCGUGUGCACCACCGUGCUGUGCACCACCGUGUGUGCACCACCGUGCCAUGUGCACCACCGUGCACUGUGCAGCACCGUGCACCACCGUGCCAUGUGCACCUCCGUGCCUUGCACCACCGUGCCAUGUGCACCACCGUGCUGUGCACCACCGUGUGUGCACCACCGUGCCAUGUGCACCACCGUGCUGUGCACUGCCGUGUGUGCACCUCUGUGCCUUGCACCACCAUGCACUGUGCAGCGCCGUGCACCACCGUGCCUUGCACCACCGUGCCAUAUGCACCACCAUGCCGUGCACCACCGUGCCAUGUGCACCACUGUGCACUGUGCAGCGCCGUGCACCACCGUGCUGUGCACCACCUUGUGCGCACCUCCGUGCCUUGCACCACCAUGCACUGUGCAGCGCCGUGCACCGCCGUGCCGUGUGCACCUCCGUGACUUGCACCGCUGUGCCAUGUGCACCACCGUGCACUGUGCAGUGCCGUGCACCGUGCCAUGUGCACGUCCGUGCACCACUGUGCCAUGU
rnacentral:lncRNA from 1 species